rnacentral:lncRNA from 10 species
GAGAACCUGUCUCAAAAAGAAAAAAAAAAAAAGGAAAAAAAUUUUUAAAAAAUAUUUAAAAGUAAUCACCGAAAAAAUAGAACUCGCUUGAAAGACAAGACCAAAAACGAAGAGGACGUUUCCCUAGAUGGUGAAAACAAGUGGGGCGGAAUCACUGCAGCGUCCUGCACAGAACUCUGGAAUUGCCACUUUGCAGUUGCUGCCUUCUAGUGUGUAUUGUUGAAAGACAGUUUUAUUGAGGCAUAAUUGGCAUACAAUAAGCUGCAUAUAAAAAUGUGUACGUGAUGACUUUUGACAUACGUGUACACCCGUGAAGCUAUUUCCACAAUCAAGAUAAUCACCAUCCCCUUCACUCUGGAAAGUUUCCCAUGCCCUUGGUAAGCCCACCCUCCUGCUUCUUGCCUCCCAUCCCCAAGUAACAACUGUGCUGCUUUCUGUCACUACAGGUUAAUCUGCACUUUCUAGAAUGUAUGUAAAUAGAAUCACACAGUAUGUACUUGUGUUUUGUCUGGCUUCUUGCUUAGCUGAGCAUAAGGAUUUGCGAGUCAUCCCUGUUGCAUGCAUUAAUAUUUUAUUCCUUUUUAUUGCCAAGUAGUAUUCCAUUGUUUGGAUGCACCAGUUUGGUUAGCUGUUCACCUGUUGAUGGACAUUUGGACCAUGUUCCGUUGUGAACUAUUACAAAUAAAGCUGCUAUAAACAU